rnacentral:rRNA from 1 species
UACGUAGGGUGCGAGCGUUGUCCGGAAUUAUUGGGCGUAAAGAGCUCGUAGGCGGUUUGUUGCGUCGGCUGUGAAAUCCCGAGGCUCAACCUCGGGUCUGCAGUCGAUACGAGCAAACUAGAGUGUUGCAGGGGAGACUGGAAUUCCUGGUGUAGCGGUGAAAUGUGCAGAUAUCAGGAGGAACACCGGUGGCGAAGGCGGGUCUCUGGGCAACAACUGACGCUGAGGAGCGAAAGCGUGGGGAGCGAACAGG